UGCCAGCAGCCGCGGUAAUACGGAGGGUCCAAGCGUUGUUCGGAAUUAUUGGGCGUAAAGCGCGUGUAGGCGGUUCGUUAAGUCUGAUGUGAAAGCCCGGGGCUCAACCCCGGAAGUGCAUUGGAAACUGGCGAACUUGAGUACGGGAGAGGGAAGUGGGAAUUCCGAGUGUAGGAGUGAAAUCCGUAGAUAUUCGGAGGAACACCAGUGGCGAAGGCGGCUUUCUGGACCAAUACUGACGCUGAGAAGCGGAAGCGGGGGGAGCGAACAGGAUUAGAUA
rnacentral:rRNA from 1 species